rnacentral:tRNA from 1 species
GGUCUAGUGGUGUAGUGGUUAACAUGCCUGCCUGUCACGCAGGAGAUCGCGGGUUCGAGUCCCGUCUAGACCG